GACGUAGGGGGCGAGCGUUGUCCGGAUUUAUUGGGCGUAAAGAGCUCGUAGGCGGUCCGUCACGUCCGCUGUGAAAACCCAGGGCUCAACCCUGGGCUUGCAGUGGAUACGGGCAGACUAGAGGUAGGUAGGGGAGAAUGGAAUUCCCGGUGUAGCGGUGAAAUGCGCAGAUAUCGGGAGGAACACCGGUGGCGAAGGCGGUUCUCUGGGCCUUACCUGACGCUGAGGAGCGAAAGCGUGGGGAGCGAACAGG
rnacentral:rRNA from 1 species